rnacentral:rRNA from 1 species
UUCGCAAUGCCCGAAAGGGUGACGAAGCGACGCCGCGUGUGGGAAGAAGGCCUUCGGGCUGUAAACCACUGUCGGGAGUUAGGAAAUGCAAGGGUGUUAAUAGUAUCCUUACUUGACUAAGGCUCCGGAGGAAGCCACGGCUAACUCUGUGCCAGCAGCCGCGGUAAUACAGAGGCGGCAAGCGUUGUUCGGAAUUAUUGGGCGUAAAGAGCACGUAGGCGGCCUUGCAAGUCAGUUGUGAAAGCCUUCUGCUUAACGGAAGAACAGCAGCUGAUACUGCAAGACUAGAGUGCGGAAGGGGAGAGUGGAACUUCUGGUGGAGCGGUGAAAUGCGUAGAUAUCAGAAGGAACACCGGCGGCGAAGGCGGCUCUCUGGUCCGUAACUGACGCUGAGUGUGCGAAAGCUAGGGGAGCAAACGGGAUUAGAUACCCCGGUAGUCCUAGCCGUAAACGAUGGGCACUAAGUAGAGGGGUUUU